UACGGGGGGGGCAAGCGUUGUUCGGAAUUACUGGGCGUAAAGGGCUCGUAGGCGGCCGACUAAGUCAGACGUGAAAUCCCCAGGCUCAACCUGGGAACUGCGUCUGAUACUGGUUGGCUUGAAUUCGGGAGAGGGAUGCAGAAUUCCAGGUGUAGCGGUGAAAUGCGUAGAUAUCAGGAGGAACACCGGUGGCGAAGGCGGCAUCCUGGACCGGCAUUGACGCUGAGGCGCGAAAGCCAGGGGAGCAAACGGG
rnacentral:rRNA from 1 species